GUUGACCUCGGAUCAGGUAGGGAUACCCGCUGAACUUAAGCAUAUCAAUAAGCGGAGGAAAAGAAACCAACAGGGAUUGCCUCAGUAACGGCGAGUGAAGCGGCAACAGCUCAAAUUUGAAAUCUGGCGCAAGCCCGAGUUGUAAUUUGUAGAGGAUGCUUCAGGGCAGCGGCCGGUCUAAGUUCCUUGGAACAGGACGUCAUAGAGGGUGAGAAUCCCGUAUGCGACCGGUUGGCACCCGUCACGUAGCUCCUUCGACGAGUCGAGUUGUUUGGGAAUGCAGCUCUAAAUGGGUGGUAAAUUCCAUCUAAAGCUAAAUACCGGCCAGAGACCGAUAGCGCACAAGUAGAGUGAUCGAAAGAUGAAAAGCACUUUGGAAAGAGAGUUAAAAAGCACGUGAAAUUGUUGAAAGGGAAGCGCAUGCAACCAGACUUGUCGGCGGUGUUCCGCCGGUCUUCUGACCGGUCUACUCGCCGCCGGCAGGCCAGCAUCAUCUGGGUGCGCCGGAUAAAGGCGUGGGGAAUGUAGCUCCUCGGAGUGUUAUAGCCCCGCGCACAAUACGGCGCCGCCCGGGUGAGGUCCGCGCUUCGGCUAGGAUGCUGGCGUAAUGGUUGUAUGCGGCCCGUCUUGAAACACGGACCAAGGAGUCUAACAUCUAUGCGAGUGUUCGGGUGUCAAACCCCUACGCGGAAUGAAAGUGAACGGAGGUGGGAAGCGCAAGCUGCACCAUCGACCGAUCCUGAUGUCUUCGGAUGGAUUUGAGUAAGAGCAUAGCUGUUGGGACCCGAAAGAUGGUGAACUAUGCCUAAAUAGGGUGAAGCCAGAGGAAACUCUGGUGGAGGCUCGCAGCGGUUCUGACGUGCAAAUCGAUCGUCUAAUUUGGGUAUAGGGGCGAAAGACUAAUCGAACCAUCUAGUAGCUG
rnacentral:rRNA from 1 species